GCCGCGUCCAAGGGGAGUUCCGGCAAGGAACUGAGAGGCCGACAUCAGCGCGCGGCGACCCUACGAACCUGAUCCAGUUGACACUGGCGUAGGGAUGGAGUGAGCCGCUCUU
rnacentral:ncRNA from 2 species